UUUACUGGCGGCUUGCAUUGCCCGGCCCCCCCCCCCCACCUGUGGCGGGGGGGGCGGGCCGUAAAACCAUGGGCGGCUCAGACCAUGUGGUGACAGAGCCCCCCCGUAUGGGGGCGAUGAGAACCCACUCCCCCAAUGUCGAAGGGGCUAACCCCCCCCUCCCCUGGGGGGGGGGGGACAGUGCAAGCAGGACAGUUUGGUUGGGGCGACCGCCUUUUAAAGGGUAACGAAGGCGCACUUAAGGUCUCGCGAGCAAUAGCGGUGGCCUGACUGCGAGGGGGGUGCGCCCCGAGCAGACACCCGGGGCCCCCCGGGGUUUUGGGGGGCCGACCGGGUGGGUUAUAGUGACCCGUUAAUUUUAUUGUGGGGAUAGUUAACGAUCAACGGAUAAAAGUUACCGCGGGGAUAACAGCGUAAUAUCGUUAGAGAGUUCACAUCGACGACGAU
rnacentral:rRNA from 1 species